GCCUUUACUUUUCUUUGAGAGGCUAUAAGAUUUUAGGAAAAUUCCAUUCUUUCUUUCUUUCUUUCGUGCUAUUACUUGGGUCCAAUUGGUAUCUAAGUGAUACAAAUUGGUAUCUGACCAUCUUCACUCUAUUUCGCAGAUGGUUAGAACUAGAGCAACGACUACACCAACACCAACACCAGCACCGGCGGUACAGGGUGCGUCUGAGCCAGCCACUGGGGCUGU
rnacentral:misc_RNA from 1 species